CUAAUAACAAAAUACAUACUGCUUUUAUAUUUGUUCACAACAGAAUACAUUCUAAUAAAGAAAUUCUCCCCAUGUUUAAUCAAAACGAACUCACAAAAUUUGUUCACAACAUAAUACAUUAUAAUAAAGAAAUUCUCUGUGAUUUUUUCCCCAUGAUGAUCAGAAUGAUUCUUUGAAGUAAUUAUGCUCUCCUCGCCAAAUUCUUUCCCUAGAUAAAGAAAAUCCAACGAAACAGUUCACACAGAAAUACCGCUUCUAACGCAAGAACUAAAAGAUCCAAAGGCUUCAUCCUCAUCAAUGAUCACUGAUUUGAUGUAGAGAAGAACAAGAUAAUUCACAUGAGACUGCAAACAACUCAAAAGGAUGAAAGGAUGCAGUUUUAAUAAUGCGAUGAUGCAGCCCACCCCCUCCUUUUCUCCUUCUCUCAUUCACACGCAUGCAAACAAAGCAAGAGAAUCAUUAAAGUUCAAUGAAAAAUAUUUUCUGACCAUACUGAGGACGUUUGAUGGUUAUGAAAUGACAACAUCAGAUCAUAAAAAUAAGAGAAAUAAAAUCAAAACAUACCUCAGGAGACUUGAGAAUGAGAGAUUGAGAUUGAGAGAAUUGAGAAUGAUAGGAAUUAGGAAGCACUGGAGGUGGAGGUGGAGGUGGAGGCAGUUGUGAGUGUUGGAAAAUUAGGUUUGUGUUUUUGUUUUUAUAGUAAGAGAUAUGCUAUUGUGUAUGAAAGUGUACAUUUCCUUUGUUAAUAAUCCAAUACGAAAUUGACACAUCAUAUAUCUUAAAGCUUUUUAAAUUUUGGAUUGGAUCGGUUUGAAUCCAUUUGAAAUCCUUCCAAACCAAAAUCCAAACCGAGUGAUGUCGGUUUACAAUCCAAUAAACCAAAACCAGUGUUUUUACUAAUGAAACCGAUCCAAACCGAUCCAAAUGGUCGGUUUGGAUCAGUUUGGAUCGGUUCGGUUAAAAUAUGCCCACCCCUAGUUUGGGAGAGAUGAGUGAAAGAGAGAUUGUUGGGGGAGAGAUGAGAGAGGGGUAUUUUGGUCUCAAAGGUUUUUUUAUGGCUAAUGUUGAUAGAAAUUUAUUUGGGGGGUUAAGAUGGAAAAAGUAAAAAUUUUUAUGGUUAUUGGUGUAAAUUUCCCCAUUUCACUAUGCACACCUAUUUGCUGAGUUAUGAAUUUUAUCUAUUAUUUUGCACACUCAUAUAAUGAAUUUUGAAAAUUACCUUUUACUUGCACAGCCCUUCGAAUUCCAAAAUAAUCACCAAUUAAAGCUCAUCUUCCUUUAAAACAUAUAUAUGCAUGUGUGUGCAUGUGCGUAU
rnacentral:lncRNA from 1 species